rnacentral:lncRNA from 1 species
CAGGCUAGAUGUUCAAGGAGGUAGCGUAGGUGCAGCCGUGUGUCCAUCCUCUCCAGUGGAAGGCACCUGGUACAAUGGUACCCCAUGAUCCUCCUUCCAAUUGAUUUUUUAUUGUCAAUUUGUGUUUGGCCCCAAACAUUUUUUUUCCUUCUUUAAUAAGUACAACUCCUAUGAGUGAUUGAUCAGAGCUCUAAUUUCGGGUGUUGAUUGAGUUCACCUUGUUAUGUAUAGAAUGAAUGAUGGGAUUCAUGUUUUUGUACAUAUCACGGAGGAUCUAGUAUGAUAAUAUUAAUACUUCUACAUAGUAUUACCUCACCUUUCAUACCAUUGUCCACUUGUGUUGUGCUACUAUCCAAUGGGGACACGUUUAUUUUGUUGCCAUGUCACGUAAGAGUAUAAUAUACUUCUGAUAUCUCCGAGAGUGUAUAUAAAGACUAUAGAUUUUGUAGUAUGUUAAGGUGAUCAAAGUUUCUCUGUAUUACCUUUAUACAUGACAACAGAUUAUAAUGCUGUCAAAUUUAUGUGACUAUAACCAAACAACAUUGUAAUUUCUUUCUGACAGCAGUUUAGCUAGUCAUUUUAUACAGAUUGUAAUAAUAUCAAACUGAUGUGGGCUUUAACCAAACCACAUACAGUAUUUUUUUUUCUGUCCGCACAUUAACUGGUCAUUUUUAUACAGAUUAUAAUAUUGUCAAAUCGACAUGAGCUAUAACCAAACAUCUCUGUGAUUUUUUUCUGUCAGAAAACAGCUAGUAAGUUUUUUAUUGCAUUGACACUAUCGUAAGAGACAAUGUUUUCUUACUGUUUGCAGAUAUUUAAGGAUAUAACAUUAUGGAAAUUUUCAGCAGAUGAUCUUUUGCAAGUGAAAAGAAUACAUCUUUAUAAGGAGCAAUCAAUGUGGGGCCAUUACAAGGUGUGUGAUUUAUCCAUGUUCCAACCUUUUCUGCUGACAAAGAUGGUUCAGAAUAAUGUAGUCGUCAUCUGUUUGACAGAUAAGCUGCAUUAUCUCUAGAUCAGCUGGCUCAAACUUCUUUGUUGUGUCAUCUCCACUAGUGUAGAGUUUCUAUUGGAUGGAAGAUUACUAGUGUCGACAAGCAUAACCAGUCAAUCCUAAGAAGUCUUAGUUCUAUAGAGAAGAAACACACAAAUGAUAACUAUUCUUUGUGAAAUCAAUGUAUAUUUCUUAUUUAAAGUUAUCUAGCUCUGCUUCUCUAUAUUUCCCUUCACCUUUUCUGAUGCUAAUGUGCUCUUGUUGCAGGAUUUAGAGGACAAAACUAAUUAUAUGGACAGAUUAUAACAGGUUUUAUAUUGGAAAUAAUCUUGAAAAAUGUGCAAGCGAAAUCUUCACAUUUAUCCAGAAGCCAUAUCCAUAAAAGCUGCGAAAGCCGUCAAGUUGAUGUACCAAACUAGCUAUAGAAUUUUUAGAUAGAUUUCCACUGAGAAUUUCCAUUUUUUUCUCAAAUUGGUUUCAACUUUCAGAUAGUUAGAAUUAGAAUUAGAAGUUUAUUUUCUAGUGACAUACACAUUAUUGUAUGAACGUACAGUUCACUUGUAAACUAUCAAUACCCUUUGUAAUAAAAAUAGUUGUAAUGGCUUGCACAUUGCUACUUGUUUUGCGGUUGUGAUUAUGAGAAACUUUUUCAGUUAAUUAUGAGAAUAAGAUGAUUGCAAUGCAACAAUGAUGUUGAAUAAUGCCUAC